rnacentral:lncRNA from 1 species
CACAGCGAGAAAGCAACUCAUACAGACAUCAUUGUCCUCAAGCUUUAGCAUGCCCCAUGGGAAAGCAUCUACCACAAGAGCCAACAGUACCAAGAAAUAUUACAACACAUGGAACUUUGCCUGGGAAAUUAAAUAAAUGUUCAUGCAUCUCUGUGCUCAGAAUUCGCAAAACUCUGAAGUAAACCAAUCCUAAAACUCACCGGUCUGCAUGGGCGUGGUCUACUCUCCUUCUGCCUCAAAAGAAGUGUGGCCUCGGCCUAUCUGGAGAGUCAUCUUCAGGCCUUCUCAACUUUCACCAUCCCUCCCACUGCCAAAACCUCCACAGAUAGACACUCAAGACGCACUUUUCAGGCAAAACAUCCUGGAAUUAAUCCUACCAUGA